UUUGUUGUUUGUGAAAGACUUUGUUAGUUAUUUCUUCAAGUUAUAUAACCAAAUUUAACACGACAGCUAUGUUGGCGAAAUUCAGAGAAAUAGUAAACCUUCUGCCGCACCUGUUUUCGGAGCCGAAAUCGAAGGGUUUCGAGUGAGAUUUUCGAAUCAGUCUCUUCACAAAACUCGUCGAGGACCGUGAUAAUUAUAUGUUGGACUGUUUGAUGAAGUGAAAGAACGUUAUCGUGGAAGUCAUAUUUGUUGUCGCUUAACAAUUUAUGAAGUGGAAUUUAUUAUGAAAUAAUUACAGUCAUCUUUCUUAUUAUUUGGAAUGAUUGAUUUAUUAUUGUAUUUAGUAUGAUAGAUUGAAAUUAUAAUA